rnacentral:rRNA from 1 species
AACGAACGCUGGCGGCAGGCUUAACACAUGCAAGUCGAGCGCCCCGCAAGGGGAGCGGCAGACGGGUGAGUAACGCGUGGGAAUCUACCCAGCUCUACGGAAUAACCCAGGGAAACUUGGACUAAUACCGUAUACGUCCGAGAGGAGAAAGAUUUAUCGGAGUUGGAUGAGCCCGCGUUGGAUUAGCUAGUUGGUGGGGUAAUGGCCUACCAAGGCGACGAUCCAUAGCUGGUCUGAGAGGAUGAUCAGCCACACCGGGACUGAGACACGGCCCAGACUCCUACGGGAGGCAGCAGUGGGGAAUAUUGGACAAUGGGCGAAAGCCUGAUCCAGCCAUGCCGCGUGAGUGAUGAAGGCCCUAGGGUUGUAAAGCUCUUUCACCGGUGAAGAUAAUGACGGUAACCGGAGAAGGAGCCCCGGCUAACUUC